GGCCUAACACAUGCAAGUCGGGCGGUAACACAGGGAGCUUGCUCCUGGGUGACGAGCGGCGGACGGGUGAGUAAUGUCUGGGAAACUGCCUGAUGGAGGGGGAUAACUACUGGAAACGGUAGCUAAUACCGCAUAACGUCUUCGGACCAAAGUGGGGGACCUUCGGGCCUCAUGCCAUCAGAUGUGCCCAGAUGGGAUUAGCUAGUAGGUGAGGUAACGGCUCACCUAGGCGACGAUCCCUAGCUGGUCUGAGAGGAUGACCAGCCACACUGGAACUGAGACACGGUCCAGACUCCUACGGGAGGCAGCAGUGGGGAAUAUUGCACAAUGGGCGCAAGCCUGAUGCAGCCAUGCCGCGUGUAUGAAGAAGGCCUUCGGGUUGUAAAGUACUUUCAGCGAGGAGGAAGGCGGUGAGGUUAAUAACCUCAUCGAUUGACGUUACUCGCAGAAGAAGCACCGGCUAACUCCGUGCCUGCAGCCGCGGUAAUACGGAGGGUGCAAGCGUUAAUCGGAAUUACUGGGCGUAAAGCGCACGCAGGCGGUCUGUCAAGUCGGAUGUGAAAUCCCCGGGCUCAACCUGGGAACUGCAUUCGAAACUGGCAGGCUAGAGUCUUGUAGAGGGGGGUAGAAUUCCAGGUGUAGCGGUGAAAUGCGUAGAGAUCUGGAGGAAUACCGGUGGCGAAGGCGGCCCCCUGGACAAAGACUGACGCUCAGGUGCGAAAGCGUGGGGAGCAAACAGGAUUAGAUACCCUGGUAGUCCACGCCGUAAACGAUGUCGACUUGGAGGUUGUGCCCCUUGAGGCGUGGCUUCCGGAGCUAACGCGUUAAGUCGACCGCCUGGGGAGUACGGCCGCCAAGGUUAAAACUCAAAU
rnacentral:rRNA from 1 species